rnacentral:rRNA from 1 species
UUAAGAAAUGACACCCGAAUGACGCCAAAGCGAAGCACCGGAUCCCAUCAGAACUCCGAAGUUAAGCGUGCUUAGGCGAGAGUAGUACUAGGAUGGGUGACCUCCUGGGAAGUCCUCGUGUUGCAUCCC